rnacentral:rRNA from 1 species
UGAACGCUGGCGGCAUGCUUUCCACAUGCAAGUCGAACGGUAACAGGCCGCAAGGUGCUGACGAGUGGCGAACGGGUGAGUAAUGCAUCGGAACGUGCCCAGUCGUGGGGGAUAACUACUCGAAAGAGUAGCUAAUACCCCAUACGAUCUAUGGAUGAAAGCGGGGGACCGUAAGGCCUCGCGCGAUUGGAGCGGCCGAUGUCAGAUUAGGUAGUUGGUGGGGUAAAGGCUCACCAAGCCAACGAUCUGUAGCUGGUCUGAGAGGACGACCAGCCACACUGGGACUGAGACACGGCCCAGACUCCUACGGGAGGCAGCAGUGGGGAAUUUUGGACAAUGGGCGCAAGCCUGAUCCAGCAAUGCCGCGUGCAGGAAGAAGGCCUUCGGGUUGUAAACUGCUUUUGUACGGAACGAAACGGCUCUGGUUAAUACCCGGGGCUAAUGACGGUACCGUAAGAAUAAGCACCGGCUAACUACGUG